AUUCCAGCUCCAAUAGCGUAUAUUAAAGUUGUUGCAGUUAAAACGCUCGUAGUCGGAUUUCGGGGCGGGCCGACCGGUCUGCCGAUGGGUAUGCACUGGCCGGCGCGUCCUUCCACCCGGAGACCGCGCCUCCUCUUAACUGAGCGGGCGCGGGAGACGGGUCUUUUACUUUGAAAAAAUCAGAGUGUUUCAAGCAGGCAGUCGCUCUUGCAUGGAUUAGCAUGGGAUAAUGAAAUAGGACUCUGGUGCUAUUUUGUUGGUUUCGAACACCGGAGUAAUGAUUAACAGGGACAGUCAGGGGCACUCGUAUUCCGCCGAGAGAGGUGAAAUUCUCAGACCAGCGGAAGACGAACCACUGCGAAAGCAUUUGCCAGGGAUGUUUUCAUUG
rnacentral:rRNA from 1 species